rnacentral:rRNA from 1 species
CCCSCSCCUGCGGCRGCUUACACAUGCAGUCGGCGCCCCGCAGGGGAGCGGCAGAGGGUGAGUAACGCGUGGGAACGUACCAUUUGCUACGGAAUAACUCAGGGAAACUUGUGCUAAUACCGUAUGUGCCCUUCGGGGGAAAGAUUUAUCGGCAAAUGAUCGGCCCGCGUUGGAUUAGCUAGUUGGUGGGGUAAAGGCUCACCAAGGCGACGAUCCAUAGCUGGUCUGAGAGGAUGAUCAGCCACACUGGGACUGAGACACGGCCCAGACUCCUACGGGAGGCAGCAGUGGGGAAUAUUGGACAAUGGGCGCAAGCCUGAUCCAGCCAUGCCGCGUGAGUGAUGAAGGCCCUAGGGUUGUAAAGCUCUUUCACCGGUGAAGAUAAUGACGGUAACCGGAGAAGAAGCCCCGGCUAACUUCGUGCCAGCAGCCGCGGUAAUA